ensembl:snRNA U1 U1 spliceosomal RNA
AUACUUACCUGGCAAGAGAGAUACCAUCAUCACGAAGGUGGUCUUCUCAGGGCGAGGCUUAUCCAUUGCACAAAAGGGAUGCUGACCUCUGCCAUUUCCCCAACUGUGGGAAACUCAACUGCAUAAUUUGAGGUGGAGGACUGUGUUCACACUUCA